UCCGCGUUGUAAUCUCGAGACGUGUUUUCCGUGCGGCUCUAUGGACAAGUCCCUUGGAACAGGGCAUCGUAGAGGGUGAAAAUCCCGUACUUGCCAUGGAAGUACCGUGCUUUGUGAUACACGCUCCAAGAGUCGAGUAGUUUGGGAUUGCUGCUCAAAGUGGGUGGUAGACUCCAUCUAAAGCUAAAUAUCGGGGAGAGACCGAUAGCGAACAAGUACUGUGAAGGAAAGAUGAAAAGAA
rnacentral:rRNA from 1 species